UCCGAGUUGACCCCGGCAGUCUCCUGCGAGUCCCCGCCAUUACGCGCUGGCAACACAGGACAAGGGUUGCGCUCGUUGCGGGACUUAACCCAACAUCUCACGACACGAGCUGACGACAACCAUGCACCACCUGUGAACCGGCCCCAAAGGGGAAACCACAUUUCUGCGGCGAUCCGGUGCAUGUCAAGCCUUGGUAAGGUUCUUCGCGUUGCAUCGAAUUAAUCCGCAUGCUCCGCAGCUUGUGCGGGCCCCCGUCAAUUCCUUUGAGUUUUAGCCUUGCGGCCGUACUCCCCAGGCGGCGGACUUACUGCGUUAGCGCCGGCACGGAGGGGGUCAACUCCCCCCACACCUCGUCCGCAUCGUUUACUGCGUGGACUA
rnacentral:misc_RNA from 1 species